GGGAGUUGCAGCCGGUCAGAUGUGGCGUCCUGGGGAACGCCGGGAGUUGUAGUCCACGGGGGUAGAAAGCAAAGUGGAGGACUGCCUUUUGGGAAUUGUAGUUCGAGUGCACAGGGAAGGAGAAAGUACUUGAGCUCCCGAAGGGUGGCACUUCUUGGUAUGCCACUUCCCAGAUGCCCAUGACCAGAGGCCCGGAUCCAAGCAGGGACGGCAGCACAGUCCACUGCUUUCCUAAAAGCAGAGACUCUCUAGUCCAACUCGUUCCUUUAAUAGGAGACGAGAAACCAGGAAUAAAGAAGUUAGGUGGCCACCUGGGCAGCCAGGAGACCCGGAACCAUGAUGCCCCACAACAUCCUCUGGGGCCCCUGGUGGAGCCAGAGAAGCAGGAGUCACCUGGGCCAGGACAGAGAAGAGCAGUUUUGUUCCUAUGGUCAAAGGCUCCAGGGAAUGGGAUUCUUUUGCAUUUCUGACUGCUGGGAAGCUCUCAGUAAAGUCUGACUUCCUUCCUG